rnacentral:rRNA from 1 species
GAUGAACGCUGGCGGCGUGCCUAAUACAUGCAAGUCGAACGAAGAGAUAGCUUGCUAUCUCUUAGUGGCGAACGGGUGAGUAAUACAUAAACAAUCUGCCCAUACGACUGGGAUAACCGUUGGAAACGAUGGCUAAUACCGGAUAGGUGAGGAGGAGGCAUCUUCUUCUUAUUAAAGUUGGGACACAACGCGUGUGGAUGAGUUUAUGGCGCAUUAGCUAGUUGGCGGGGUAACGGCCCACCAAGGCAACGAUCCAUAGCCGGCCUGAGAGGGUGAACGGCCACAUUGGGACUGAGACACGGCCCAAACACCUACGGGUGGCAG